GCAAGUCGAGCGAGAAGUUUUAAAAGGAUUCUUCGGAUGAAUUUUAAAAUGGAAAGCGGCGGACGGGUGAGUAACGCGUAGGCAACCUGCCCCAUACAAAGGGAUAGCAUUUGGAAACGAAUAUUAAUACCUUAUAAUACCUGAGUAUCGCAUGAUACAAAGGUCAAAGAUUUAUCGGUAUGGGAUGGGCCUGCGUCUGAUUAGUUAGUUGGUGGGGUAAUGGCCUACCAAGACGAUGAUGCAUAGCCGACCUGAGAGGGUGAUC
rnacentral:rRNA from 1 species